GACGAACGCUGGCGGCGUGCCUAAUACAUGCAAGUUGAGCGAUGAAGAUUGGUGCUUGCACCAAUUUGAAGAGCAGCGAACGGGUGAGUAACGCGUGGGGAAUCUGCCUUUGAGCGGGGGACAACAUUUGGAAACGAAUGCUAAUACCGCAUAAAAACUUUAAACACAAGUUUUAAGUUUGAAAGAUGCAAUUGCAUCACUCAAAGAUGAUCCCGCGUUGUAUUAGCUAGUUGGUGAGGUAAAGGCUCACCAAGGCGAUGAUACAUAGCCGACCUGAGAGGGUGAUCGGCCACAUUGGGACUGAGACACGGCCCAAACUCCUACGGGAGGCAGCAGUAGGGAAUCUUCGGCAAUGGACGAAAGUCUGACCGAGCAACGCCGCGUGAGUGAAGAAGGUUUUCGGAUCGUAAAACUCUGUUGGUAGAGAAGAACGUUGGUGAGAGUGGAAAGCUCAUCAAGUGACGGUAACUACCCAGAAAGGGACGGCUAACUACGUG
rnacentral:rRNA from 1 species